rnacentral:rRNA from 1 species
UACAGAGGGGGCAAGCGUUGUUCGGAAUUACUGGGCGUAAAGGGCGCGUAGGCGGCCUGUUAAGUCGAACGUGAAAUCCCCGGGCUCAACCCGGGAACUGCGUCCGAUACUGGCUGGCUUGAAUCCGGGAGAGGGAUGUGGAAUUCCAGGUGUAGCGGUGAAAAGCGUAGAUAUCUGGAGGAACACCGGUGGCGAAGGCGACAUCCUGGACCGGUAUUGACGCCGAGGCGCGAAAGCCAGGGGAGCAAACGGG